GACGAACGCUGGCGGCGUGCUUAACACAUGCAAGUCGAACGGAAAGGCCCUGCUUUUGUGGGUUGCUCGAGUGCCGAACGGGUGUGUAACACGUGAGUAACCUCCCCUUGUCUUUCGGAUAACUUCAGGAAACUGGGGCUCAUACCGGAUAGAAUCUCCUGCUGCAUGUUGGGGGUUGGAAAGUUUCGGCUGUUGGGGAUGUAUUCGCGGCUUAUCAGCCUGUUUGUGGGGUUGUGGCUUACCGAGGUUUGGACGGGUACGGGGCCUGAGAGGGUGAGACGCGACACUGGGACCGAGAGACGGCAGAGACUCCUACGGGAGGGAGCAGUGGGGAAUAUUGAACAAGGGGCGGAGGGCUGAUGCAGCAACGCCGCGUGCGGGAUGACGGCCUUCGGGUUGAAAAACGCUUGCGCCUGUGACGAAGCGUGAGUGAAGGUAACGGGUAAAGAAGCACCGGCUAAAUACGUGC
rnacentral:rRNA from 1 species